rnacentral:rRNA from 1 species
UGAACGCCAGCUACAGGCUUAACACAUGCAAGUCGAGGGGAAACGGGAGGAUAGCUUGCUAUCCUCGCCGUCGACCGGCGCACGGGUGAGUAACGCGUAUCCAACCUGCCAUCCAGCGGAGGAUAGCCUUUCGAAAGAAAGGAUAAUACUCCAUGAUCUCCUCAGAGGACAUCUGACGAGGAGCAAAGAUUCAUCGCUGGGUGAUGGGGAUGCGUCUGAUUAGGCAGUUGGCGGGGUAACGGCCCACCAAACCGACGAUCAGUAGGGGUUCUGAGAGGAAGGUCCCCCACAUUGGAACUGAGACACGGUCCAAACUCCUACGGGAGGCAGCAGUGAGGAAUAUUGGUCAAUGGACGUAAGUCUGAACCAGCCAAGUAGCGUGCAGGAUGACGGCCCUAUGGGUUGUAAACUGCUUUUAUGCGGGGGUGAAGUGAGUGACGUGUCAUUCAUUGCAAGUACCGCAAGAAUAAGGACCGGCUAAUUCCGUGCCAGCAGCCGCGGUAAUACGGAAGGUCCUGGUGUUAUCCGGAUUUAUUGGGUUUAAAGGGAGCGUAGGCCGUCAGGCAAGCGUGUUGUGAAAUGUCGUGGCUCAACCAUGGACUUGCAGCGCGAACUGCCCGACUUGAGUGCGCGGAAAGCAGGCGGAAUUUGUGGUGUAGCGGUGAAAUGCUUAGAUAUCACGAAGAACCCCGAUUGCGAAGGCAGCCUGCUGUAGCGCUACUGACGCUGAAGCUCGAAAGUGCGGGUAUCGAACAGGAUUAGAUACCCUGGUAGUCCGCACGGUAAACGAUGGAUGCCCGCUGUUCGGUCUACGGACCGAGCGGCUAAGUGAAAACGUUAAGCAUCCCACCUGGGGAGUACGCCGGCAACGGUGAAACUCAAAGGAAUUGACGGGGGCC